rnacentral:rRNA from 1 species
AGUGAAAUGUGAUAAGUAAUGUGAAUUGCAAAAUUCAGUGAAUCAUCAAAUCUUUGAACGCAUCUGGCCCCUUUUGGUUUUCCAAAAGGUACCCCUGUUUGAGUGUCAUGAAACCCUCUCAUUAAACUUUUUAUUUUUGAUUUGUUUAGGGGAUGUUGAGUGUUGCUGUACCUAUAGCUCACUUUAAAUAUAUAAGUCACUUUUCAAAUAAGUUGGAUUGACUUGGUGUAAUAAUUUUAUCAUCACAUCAAGGAAAGUAGUAAAACACUUGCCAUCUUGUUUGUUAAUAAGAGACUCCUAAAACCCAAUAUCUUAUUUUUAAGACCUCAAAUCAGGUGGGACUACCCGCUGAACUUAAGCAUAUCAAUAAGCGGAGGAAAAGAAACUAACAAGGAUUCCCCUAGUAACGGCGAGUGAAGAGGGAAAAGCCCAAAUUUGUAAUCUGGCUCUUUCAGAGUCCGAGUUGUAAUUUUAAGAAC